UACGUAGGGCGCAAGCGUUGUCCGGAAUUAUUGGGCGUAAAGAGCUCGUAGGCGGUUUGUCGCGUCUGCUGUGAAAACCUGAGGCUCAACCUCGGGCUUGCAGUGGGUACGGGCAGACUAGAGUGCGGUAGGGGUGACUGGAAUUCCUGGUGUAGCGGUGGAAUGCGCAGAUAUCAGGAGGAACACCGAUGGCGAAGGCAGGUCACUGGGCCGCAACUGACGCUGAGGAGCGAAAGCAUGGGGAUCGAACAGG
rnacentral:rRNA from 1 species